UACGUAGGGUGCGAGCGUUAAUCGGAAUUACUGGGCGUAAAGCGUGCGCAGGCGGUUUGUUAAGUCUGAUGUGAAAGCCCCGGGCUCAACCUGGGAACUGCAUUGGAAACUGGCAAGCUCGAGUAUGGCAGAGGGGGGUGGAAUUCCGCGUGUAGCAGUGAAAUGCGUAGAGAUGUGGAGGAACACCGAUGGCGAAGGCAGCCCCCUGGGCUAACACUGACGCUCAUGCACGAAAGCGUGGGGAGCAAACAGG
rnacentral:rRNA from 1 species